UCGGCCUCUGGAAGCCGAGGACCUGUGUCCGUCGCCCCGACAGGCUUUCGGGCCAAGUUCUCACAGCACGAGGUCUGGCCCCCUCCUCUGAGACAACGGGGCUCUGUCAAGGAGCAGAGGCCGAAGGACACUUGCACGCUCUUCUGCCCCGUGAGGUGUUUACUGUUUUGCGUACAAACAGGCUGUGCUCAGUGUUCUACCUCCUCCCCCUUCUUUCCUUUGCUAAUUUUAACUCCAUUCCAAAUUAAUAUCUUUCAAGAGAUAACUUAAUUCCCAGCCCCUCCCACCCCUGUUUAUGACUUGGGAAUGAAUGUAAGCACAAAACAUCUUGUGAUGGCCUCAAAAUAGAAAGCAAGUUUAAAGUUUUAUUUUUCUGUCCCAAAGCUGCCAAGGCGCUGGCGUGUUUUAACUUCUGCUCUACACACUGUUUCCCCCUUCCUCCCAUCCAGCUAUAUUUAGUAAAGCCCAAAUAAAAGGGAUACAUGCAAAGCAAAUUUAAAUAUAGUUGCUCUGAAUCAGAAAGCCCCGGAGCCGGUCUGUGUGAUAUCAGUGGAGACAGCACGGCUCGAGCCAGCACCGUGCACCCCGGAGGAGCGCUGUGCUCCGAGGACGGCUUCGGCUCACCUGGUGGGAAAGUGGCAGGAGCCUAGGAAGGCAGAGACCGCCCCUCGCCUGGCACCCGCAUGGCCCCUUUCACUGCACCCCGUUUCUCUGCUGCCUGCUGCCAGGUGUUGCUGUCAUUACAGCACACUCUGCUGACUGCCAGUACCCAUCAGGCUGAGAAAAACUGAGGACAGAUUUCUGCAAAAGCAAGGAAGCAUGGGGAAGGGUCAGAAGCAAAGAAAUCCCAAGCCAUGCUUCCCCGGGCGUGCGGGUCACCCUCCACGCUGCUUCACACCGCACUGCCACUCUGCCGCUUCGCUUCUGUGGACUGGAGGUAAUUCCACGGGACUUGAGGACAAGGAGAAUACUAUGGUUCUGAUAUCCUAAUAGGGAUGAUGAAAUUAUAAUGGCAGAAGUUCUUUGGGCAAAGAAAGUGUUGUCAGGGGCCAGGGAUUUAGCUCAGUGGCUCAAAUGCUUGCCUGUUAAGCACAAGGUCGUGAGUUCGAUCCCUGGUACCAAAAAAAAAAAAAAAAAAAAAAAAAAAAAAAAAAAAACCCCAAAACAGUGUUGUCGGUAAGGCAGCAAAAUUGUGAGGUUGAAGACCAAAGACUGCAAAAGCGAGCACAAGGUGGGUGAAGGGGCAGGGGCGGCAUGGCACCACAGGAGACUCAGCUCUUCCUGUACACGUACCUGGUUCCCUCAAGCCUUUCCCACAACCAAAGGCGAAUAGGACAACAGGGUAAAAGAGGUGAGGUCCCAUGAAGCUGAUCAUUGGGCAGCAAAACCAUCCUUCAGGGUCCUCACACCCGACCCCUAAGUAAACCUGAUUUGACAGGAGAGAGGAAACCAUCACCAAGUGCCGUGCAAACAGCAAUGCAGACCACACACUCUCUGUGUAGACAACCGCCAGGUAGAGCCCCAGGGCAUUAAGGUGAAACAGCUCUGUACUCUCACACAUUUCAAAUAGAGUAUGGCAGCACAGUACAUGGAUCAGCAACGUAGGACUGAGAGAACAAACCUACCCAGCUGCCUGUAUGGUCCACAAAUUAAGAAUGUUUUUUAUUUUUUUUAAGUAGUGGAAAGAAAAAAUAACAAUAUCCCAUGACCUGAACAGCAUAUAAUUUCAGUGUUCGUGAAGUCUAAUUGAACAGUCCCACUCAUUCACUUAUACAUUAUCUGUGAUUACUUUUGUAGGUUUGGUGGCUAUGGCUUACAAAGACAAAAAUACUUACUGUUGGGCCUUUUACAGAGAAAGAUGAUCAACCCCCGACCUAAAGCCAAUCGGAGGGUGGAAAAACAUAUCUUUUACUUACUGAAACCUUUAUGAUUUCUCCAGAUAUAUUUAUAGCUGUUACCUUUUACCUUUAUUCUGAGUCUGUUAUAUCACAGGGAAUUAUUAAUUAUAUCUGCUUCAGAGAUGAGUACAUGGAGUCUGAAAAUGGAGUUGCCCCAGGUCACAUCACUGCCACGUGGGGUACAGCCAGAGCUAUACCCCAGUUUUCUGACCUGUAUCUAGAGGCGUUCACAUUACACAACCCUGUUUUCUUGAACGCCUGCCAAUGCUGGCUGCUCAGUCAUUUAUUCUCUCCGUAUUUGAUUGCUCUCUAUAAUGUAAAAUCCCUCCUUCCAAAAAUAAAAUUGAAAACAAACUCCCAGCCCCACUUUGUACAGAGUAGAAACACAUGACUGUGGACUCAGUGGUUCCCCAUCUUGGCAGAGGUCGUUCUGAUGGAAGCUUCUAGAUGGUGACAGAAGUAGCAACCCCCUUGACAGACAAGUCCUGUGGCAGCCCCAUAAAUUCUACCUGGGGUCUACUUCUUCAGCCUUCCCAAAAAUCCUAUGACCUUUGGUAUGUACUUUUAUAUAUUAUUUUAUUUAAUCUUGCUACCAAGGAAUCUAUUCCCCAUCACUAAGUUCACAGGUCAGAUCUUAACUCAGGUUCAAAAGGUUUUAGAAUCCUUAUAAUUUUCUAGGUUCUAAAACACACUCCCAAAUCCAUUACAUAUUACCAGAUGUUACUCUUUAAAAAGCAUUCUGUAAUUAAGCAAGUAAAAUGUGACACAUAAAGUUCCAUAGAUUACCACAAGACUUCUCCUGAGCCUUGCAAUGCACAGAUGCUUUUUAUCAGUAUCCAAGAGGGACAACUAUGUAACAUUUUAAAAUGUAUCUGACCACUGAACCAUUUCUUAACACACCUCAUUAGGAAAGUAAUACAUUUUGAAAAAUAUUGAUCAAUAAGUGCUCUAGUUAGAAAAAUAUCUGUAAUUAUAAAAUGUUUUUAAGGUAAGGGGGUUGAAAUGAGGGAUACAAUUCUGGAAUAUGUUAGGAUGAAAAAAUAUGUUUAUAAAUAGCUGGUGGGUAUGUAUCAGUACAAUCUUUCAGAGAAGUAAUUCAGCAGUAGUUAGUAAAUUCCUUAAUAUGUACUCUUUGAUCCAGUAAUCCCAGUUCUUGGAAUCUGUCCUUCAAAACAAACCUACAAUGUGGACAAUCUUAGAUUCCCUUCUCCUUAUUUACACCUUUGUGACUGUGUCUGAAAGAAAAAUGUUUUCUUGCCCGAGAAAAACAGAAAAGGGAGCUACUUUAUCUCUGCACCAAGGUGAAAAAGGACUUCCUGAUGACUGAGUGCAAAGCAACAAAGAGGCCUUUAUACUCUCAGGGGUGUCGAGAGAGUAUAUAAACAUUUUAGAUCUUUACCUUCUAUAGAAAAGGGAAGAAGGAAAGUUGAAAAGUUUCCCCCAAACACACCCAUACAGGAACCAGGGAAGAGGUAUGUAGGCGAUGUGAAUAGUGUACAGUACAUGGCAGACCUCGCAAUGGUGAACCACCCAAAGGCUCCAGCAAACCAUAAUCCUCUGGGACAAAGCUUCAUCCCGGUGUUCAGGUAACUUGGCAGAGAACAAGAUAAUGGUGACAAAGAGCUGUAUGCUAAAGCUUUUCUUAAGUAAAUUAAACAUCUUAAAGAGGUCACUUAAUAGCACUUAAAUACGUUCCAAAUGUGUAUAUUUAAUGCAUAUAAAAGAUAAGAGAAAUUUUAAGUAGGAGUCUGGAGGAGUAAAGGAAGCCUCAAAUCCAGAACUUGUAGAUUCGGAUCAUGUGACUUAAGGCAGUGCUGCCCUCUAGUGGUGGAGUACCACAGUCUGUGGCAGAAGAAAAACAACUUUGAAAGGCUCAGUUCACAAAAAGAAAGUUAUGAAGAGGCUGCAAGAAUGUCUUAAAACCUGAAGCUCUUGAACAGUAAAGGCCAAGUGACUAAGUGGGUACUCAGUUUAAAGACCAUACAUUGAUUCCUCUCAGAUCCAUGUUAGAGAUAGACACUGUCUUCAAAGGUAAGAAAUAAUUUCUUUUCAGCUGCAGAAAUGAUGCGACUCCAGAGGCCGGUACUAACCACACACCAAGGCUGGGUGAAAUGUCUCUUCAAUGCUACCUCUGAGUACCAACUGCCUACAACAGUGGCAGCCGCUGCAUUCUUUCCAAGUUCAGCCCUGAGAACAAAGGGCCCAUACAACCUUGUGAGGGUCAGACACCCGGAAAGGAAAAGACUCCUGACCUGUGCCCUCUCCGUCUUAGGCUCACUCGCGGCAAUCUGUAUCAGAAGACACAGCCCAAGUCCUGAUUCUACUGGAGCACGCUGCGGAAGGCAAGCCAAUUCCAGGGAGCAGAUCUGAGGCAUUAGAAGGAACUCCGAUUCCUCAGGGAAAACAGGAGAGGCAAAAGCAGACAGCAGAGACCGAUCCGUGCUGGCGGAAGGCACAGCAGUGGGUUAAAUCUGCAGAACAUUUUAUUCAUGGCAAAAUAUUCUCAAAACAUCCCAUGUGUUCUUGACGUAUGACAAGUAGGCCUUUAAUCCAAGCUUACAGAUAAAAAAGGGCCAUUAAAUGACUUGUGUAACCUGGUGAGUUACAGCAGACACAAGACUCAUCCUCACAUCUACCGCUUCCCAGCAGUACCUAUGAAGACCAGACCUCGAGGCCAUAAAUUAAUGAUCAGCAAACCUCCCUCAAAGGUAGGAGGCGAGGAGCUCCUAUAGGCAGAGAAAGAGAUAACACCCUGGAAAAGGUUUUAAGACCAAAGGAACAGUCAUAGAACUUAAAGCAAAAGAAGCCUAAAACCAUUUAAAAUAGGGGCAAACAGGCUUACAGAACUUGAAAUCAGCCUAAGGUAACCACUGCAUUACAAUUAAAAUACGUUUGCUAGACUGUGUGUAAGAAGCAGGAAAUCAGGAAAUCCUUUUAUGACUGCUAUCCAAAACUGCUAAAACAUUUUUGCUUAAGGAAGUAAACUUCCCGCUUUCCAAAAAUCUUCCAGAUAAACAAGUUCUGGCUACAGUCUCUGCUCAAUAAUUUCAGUCAAUAAGUGCAUCUCUCUUCUCUUCCUUCUAUUCAUUUCCCCCUCUCUUCACUCAGUUGCUGUAAGGGGUAUCGCGCUCUGAAUCUUUAAGAUGGUACAUUUCAAAUCGGAUGAGCUUACCUGCAAUGCAGAACUUACUCUAGGUGCAAAAAGAAGCAACAGCACUGGACUGGGUAUCAGGCCCACAGAGAACACAGGACUUUCAGCUUGCGGCCCGCGCUGCCUCUGCGAGGCCGGCUGAUGGACACCCACUGAGGCCAUCUCCGACUGGGUCCGGAGGAGAUCUGAACCCAAACACAGCCACCCAGACACUUCUCCACUGUCACGCCUUUUUCUAACUUCCCUUGAUUCUAUUUCUAUUCAAGUAAAAGCCUCUAAGUAAUAGUUUAUGUAUUUAUUUUUUCUGCUUCUCUAUGAUAAAUUGUUUCUUCUACGGGGGCAGCGCUUUUUUAGUCUUGUUUUAUUUUGUUUUAAUCUGUUUUGUUCAUUGUUCUAGGUCAAGUGACUAGAACAAUGCCUGGCCCACAACAGAUACUCCAAACAUUUGCUGAAAAACAAAUGUUGUGAGCCCUCUUGCAGUUUUCCCCACAGGACGUUUUAUCCAGCAUACACAUCCUAUCUGGAGAGAGGGCUCAGCCUGCAGAUGGUCCUUACGGCCCUACCCACUCAGUCUCUCAAAGACUUUCAAAGUCAUGCUUUGUCAGAAAGCCUUUCCUCGCGCUCCUGGGCCGAUUCUCAACCCCACGUUACACACACGACCGUCUUUGCACUCCGUCUGCUGCAGAUGGUGCAUGCGUUCUCAUCAUCAGAGCCCACGUCCCCACGUUCCCCUUUCUUCCUUCUCUCUUAGCCUUCCAGAUGUCGGCUCACAGUAAAAUCACAGACCAGGCCGCCUACAGAGCGGACAGCAGACUUCACUCCUGCCCUGCAGGCUCUGAGAAGGGAAGCGCUGUCCGCGGGGGCACAGAGGACGGGAAGAAUGCUCCAGAGGCUGCCAAAGAGCAGCCAAAUAGGCACGGCUACCCAGGAGCCACACCCCACCGACACCCUUCAGACCCUGUCAUGGAGGAUCAGUGUGGACAUGAACGGCACAGAAAGCUGGUCACAUCUCUGGGCCUCUUGACACUUUCCCAGGGCUGAUCACUGAGCUGUGUAGCUGCCGUGCUGAUUAUGGCGAAGGAGGACCCAUCACUAUGACGACACCAACGUUACAGAACUUGAGCUUUGGCUAAAAGAUCAAUGCAUUGUCUUUAAAGAGACUUACAAGGCAGAAAUGAUAACAAUAAACUGUUCCUAUAUAAAAUUUAUUGUUUUAUGUUCAAAAUUUUUAUUUAAAAUAAAACACAACCGAUUUGAGGGGAGUUUAAGUUCCCCACGUUAAGUUAGGGAGACAAGAAGGGUCUUACGUGUAAGUGGAAAGAAGCACCAUCACCAAGGGGUAAGUAAGUAACUGGCUUUAUCCAGUUAUUUUUUGUUAGGGAUCAAACUCACGCAGGCGACUAUGCAGCUGAGCUAAACCCCGGCUUCCACAGUAUCUUGCAGCUUCUGUUCCAUCUCAUCUUCUCGUGCCACCUUCUUUUUGUGGCUGACACAUCUCAGUGCAGCUUUGCAGGCUUACAGGCUUCUGCUUUUCUUCUGCUGUGCCCACUCAUUAGUACUCGCAGGCUAAGUACCCUCAACACGAGCGCUCUGAAAAGCCCUUGUGCCUUACUUUCCACGUGUGGAGCACACUCGUGCCAGGGGCCAGACAAAGGCAAAUACUUUACUGCCAUUCUUCCAUCCUUCGCACUUCUGGCCCUCCCUGCUACCAAGCCCUGCUGCUGCUCCGUAAGGGCCCUUUGCUCGCGCACGCGGGGGCCAGAGCCUCAGGCUCCUUUCUCCUGCUCCUUAACACCCUGCUCAACACAAGUGUUCAAGGGGGAAAGAGCCUAGAGCGUGGCCUCUUCAUAGGGCAAAGGACUGCAGCACCACCCUACCUCCAGGUGACACAACUGAGAAGGGCAGGGAGGCUCCAGGGCCGAAAAGGGGGAAGCAGGGAACCCAACAGAGGGCUUCUAGGAUGUUGGUGACAUUCAUCAGGUUGCAAAUGUCCUCUUGCUUUCCUCCACUACUGUAAAAUCACAGACUAAGAAAACCAAGCGACUUUAAGAAACAGCUAUGCUUUCCCAUAGAAAAAGAAGUACAUUUCAGAGACAGCAUAUGUGAUGCUUCAGGGGGAGGUGGGUUCAAACCUUAGCUCCACCAUCGAUGGAGCUAAGUUACUUAAACUUCUGUACCUGUUUCUCCAUUUGUACAAUAAGAAAGGAUGAUCACAAGAUUGACCUCAAAGCACUCCACAGAAGACAUGUAAAACAUUACAAUAAUAUGAAAGAGCUCAACAAACCAUGACAGUAACAGAAACUGAGGAGUAUUGUACUACUGUUGCUCUCUAAAGGAAUUCCAAGAACUACAGUAUUUUCAUUCAGCAAACAUUUUAAUGAGCACGUAAGUCAUGGAUGGAGCUACGCCAGAGGGGACUCAGGAGCUACACUCUGGGCCUCCAACAGCAUCAAAUGGGGGUAGUAGGAACGCAGAGGGCUAUAUUGCAGACUGUAAGAGCUAUAGCAGCCAAAUGUAGGACCUGAAGGUUCAGAGGAAGAGAAGGAUCCAAAGACAGACUGCAGUGCAUCAAAAGAGGAGCAGGAAGAUCAACCUGGGAGAGGACAGGAAAUGGCCAAACAUAAGACUCACAAGCUUCCUAGCUCUGAGGACAGAAUGCUGGGCUUUUACGAGUCGGCCAAAGCUGUCCGGCGAAAGGGAAGCCAGAGACACAGAGCUGUCCCUGCUCAAGCCACGGGAGGGACUGCAGAGGCAAAGGCAGCCAGGACCCCGGGGGCCGGGGAUGGGAGAAGCAGAGGAGGCGCGGGUCCCACAGUCACCAACAUUUCUCCAAUCUAUGACGCUAUUUUCAUCCUCUUCGGUUCCAUCAACAACUUUCUCAAACAUUCCAAGGCCCUUUGUUUAUAUUCCAUCUGGUUCACAAAUAUUUGAGGCAGUUUAUGGUACAGAUAUACAGUAACACACUGAGAUGAUACGUCUGACAGAGAAUAUGUGGAACUGAUUAGAUCAGUCCAGGGCAGAGUGGGGGGACAAGAAAUAAGCAUAAUCACGCAGGUCAGAGCAAACCAGAGGGUCAUGGCAGCAAGAGAUUUGGUUCUGAUCAUCCUAGUGGCCAAAGCAUAAGAGCCAGGCAGUUACUCCAUAAGAAUAAACUACACUCUUCCUCGGGAUUAAGUGAUUUUGGUUUUGUUUUUUGGUCUUUUCGAGAGACAGGGUUUCACUAUUCAGUUAGGCUGGCCUUGAGUUUGCAACAAUCCUCCUGUCUCAGCCUCCUGAGUGCUGGGAUUACAGGUGUGUGUCACCACGCCCUGCUGAUUAAUUGAUUUUUCCAAAACCAUUCAUUAAAAAGUGAAUGGUUCCUUGUGUUCUACCAAGCAAAGCAAUACACAGUUUAUGUAGCUGGUUAGAGUCCUGUAACAGGAUGAAAUGGUAGAAAGGGAAGUAGGCUACAAAGAGCUGAUUCCAGGACUAGGUCCUCUACAGUCAUGAACCAAAAGCAGAGCAUUUCAAUUUUUGUGCCUUGUUAUUCCACUAGAAAACAAGUGCUUCCAAUGAGCCAGGGUCAAUGCUGUUCACGCUGAUUCUCCAGUCCAGCAGACAGCGACAUGGACGUUGCUACUUAACUACAGAACUCUCUUCUGCUGAAAAGACAUCAAAAUCCUGCUUAAAUGUGUUGCAGGUGAUCGGCCUGGCAUUCUGGCCGUAGGGUUGUCUGACGUGCUCUAGGAUUAACAUACCACCACGGUGCAAUCACACUUCGAGAACAAGGCUGGCUGACUACAGCUGCUGAGGAAGCCUCGAACUUGCUAUAUCCCCCAGGAUGGCCUCAAAUUCACAAACCUCCUGCCUCAACCAUGCUGCAUGCUGGAAUUACAGUUGGAAGUUGGAUAACAAGUACCACUCAAGUCCUGAAAGAAUUCUCUUCAGUGCUGUGGUUACAGAGGAGCAGCCCUGGUCGCAGACGCACACCUCUAUUUAUAAACGCAAGCACCAAGUCUUGUGGGAAAAUCUCCUCGACCACUGAAAAAGCAAACUGUCUUAAGCACCUCCAACUUUCGAAGAAUUUUGUUUUCAUACUGUUCCCAAAAGUGGGGUCAUAUCUUGUACACAUGCACACAAGGAUGCACCUGCUUUUAAGAAAUGUGUAAAACAAAAAACAAAAAAAAAAAAAAAAAAAAAGAAAUGUGUAAAACAGGGGCUGGGGAUUUAGUUCAGCGGCAUAAGCGCCUGCCUUGUAAGCAGGCAGCCAUGAGUUUGAUCCCCAGUACCGAUAAAAACAACAACAAAAAAAGACAGAAAAAAAAAAAAAAAGAAAUGUGUAAAAUGAGCUGAGUUUGAAGCAUUAUAGGCUGUAUAAAGAACUUCAAGUCAGGGGCCAGGGGAUUAGCUCAGUGGCACAAGCACCGGCCUGGCAAGCCUGAGGUUGUGAGUUUGAUCCCUGGUACCCCCCAAAAAAACUUCAAGUAGGGUAUAUUUGUAACACAAGAGCCUAUGACUCAAAAAUAAAUUAUCUAUGGAAUUCUUCCUUAAAAUCAGACAGAAAACAUAUUCUCUCUAUAUAUAUAGUCUCAGGAACAUCACACUUUAAAUGGAAGGCUUAUUCCCACAACUGCUUAAAGAUCUAACAGAUCUAACUAAAUUUAAACCCUGACUCAGCAGAGUAAGACAAGUUUGGAGGAGGGAAGAGUGAAGAGACUGUCCCAAUUGACAAUACCACUAAAAACACCCUCUGUGUGCCAGGAACUCCUUAAUACUGCAGACAAUUGUCAGCCCCACUCCCUUUCCUGGGAUGAGAGAGCAAAGGGCUGCAGGUGGGAUUAGGGUCACACAGCCAGCUUCCAGCGCUGGUCUAUGUGACCACAGUCUGUGCCUUUCUUCUGUCACACUGACAACCAACCAGGCCUGACAUCUGCAUCGGAGUCCUAACAUAAAUCUUGCUGAUCAUCUCUGCUUGGAAUUAACCUUUUGAUCAUGGCUUUCUCUAAGGCACCACUCUCAUUCAGGAGCAUUCAUGGAAUCCCAGCAUGUAAGCGGCUGAGGUAGAAGGAUCACCACUGGUCCAGGAUCAGCCUGGGCACAAGGCCAGCCUGAACUGCAGAGCAAGAUUCUGUCUCAAAAAACAAACAAAAAGGGCUGGGGAUUUAGCUCAGUGGUGUAAGUGCCUGCCUGCAAGUGCAAGUGCAAAGUCAUGAGCUCGAUCUCCGACACCAAAAAAACAAACAAAAAAAGAUACAUCACCUUUAUUUAUAAACAAAGUUAUAGCACCACCCACUAACUUUUUUGAGGAGGGUUCCCGGGGGUCAAACUCAUGACCUCCCACUUGCCAGGCAGGUGCUUACACCACUAAGGUAAAACCCCAGCCCCUAUCACCCACUAAUUUUUUUUUUUUUUUUUUUUUGGUAUUGAGGAUCGAA